rnacentral:rRNA from 1 species
AGUGAACGCUGGCGGUAGGCCUAACACAUGCAAGUCGAACGGCAGCACAGUAAGAGCUUGCUCUUACGGGUGGCGAGUGGCGGACGGGUGAGGAAUACAUCGGAAUCUACUUUCUCGUGGGGGAUAACGUAGGGAAACUUACGCUAAUACCGCAUACGACCUACGGGUGAAAGCGGGGGAUCUUCGGACCUUGCGCGAUUGAAUGAGCCGAUGUCGGAUUAGCUAGUUGGCGGGGUAAAGGCCCACCAAGGCGACGAUCCGUAGCUGGUCUGAGAGGAUGAUCAGCCACACUGGAACUGAGACACGGUCCAGACUCCUACGGGAGGCAGCAGUGGGGAAUAUUGGACAAUGGGCGCAAGCCUGAUCCAGCCAUACCGCGUGGGUGAAGAAGGCCUUCGGGUUGUAAAGCCCUUUUGUUGGGAAAGAAAAGCAGCAGGUUAAUACCCCGCUGUUCUGACGGUACCCAAAGAAUAAGCACCGGCUAACUUCGUG